GAUCAAACAAAUAACUAAAUACGAUGGGUGUUAAAAAUUUCAUGUUAUGGGCAUUCCUGUGCACCACCACGGUAAACGCUGUCAGAUUUGACAUCACUAAUAGAGAGGGUGGUCCUGUAUGGGUUGGUAUUCAAGGAAACCCUGGUCAUGAACAUUUACGCAAUGGGGGAUUCGUCUUAAAUCAAGGACAAACGACUUCCGUAAAUGCUCCUGACAACUGGGCAGGGCGAUUUUGGCCUAGGACAUGGUGUGACCCUAAUUCAAAGCAUUGCAUGACCGGUGACUGUGGAAAUAGAGUAGAAUGUGCAGGAGCAGGAGGUGUACCUCCUGCUACCCUAUUGGAAAUUAAAUUGAAAGGAGACGCUGGGCUAGAUUACUACGAUAUCUCACUUGUUGAUGGUUUUAACAUCAGAGCCUUCAUUGAACCGGUAGGUGGACGUGGAGAUGGUGGCCGAUAUAACUGCAAGAGAGCUGGUUGCUUAGCGGAUGUUAACAGCCAAUGUCCCAACGAUUUACGAAUAAAUCACCAAGGACAAACAAUUGCCUGUCAGUCAGCCUGUAACAGAUUUAACAACGACCACUACUGUUGCAGAGGUCAGUACAACUCACCUAGUGCAUGCGAUAGCAGAAGAUGGCCCGUCAACUAUCCAGGUUAUUCCAAAGGAAAAUGUCCCGCUGCCUACAGCUACGCGCAGCGCCGGUUUAUACAUAAAGCGGGACAAGCGGCCGCUUGGGGGCCCGGGUCCCGAAGGGGCCCGUAUUUUGGUCAUAAAGAAAAUAUAAAUAUGAAAAUGAAGCAGAAGUCAAUAAAUAAAUGGCCUCUUAAAAAAGAAAUUAAAGUUUACUUGUGGCAAUUAAAUCAUGCCUCCUAGAAUUAAAAUAUUACUGGCGUUCGUCUAUUUCUUGGUAGUCCGUGAAUUGUAGAACGAAUUGGCCAUUUUAAGAGAAGCAGGAGUACUUCCAAAAAUGGAAUCCAGAGCCGAAACAGAUAGUUGCGAUGAUGAAUUUAGUACUUAAGGAGAAGAUCAAAUAUCUGAAGUAGCUCUAAAUUCCAAAAUUUGGCUCGAACAUCAUUCCGAACCGUUUGAGGACGUUCUCAAGCAUUGGAUCGAAACCAAUAGUUUCAAACGUACUCAGUCGGCCACUUCGGCCUUUCAGACUGUGUCCAGUAUUUUAAACGAAUGACUUAUUUUGAAGUAUCAUUUUGGAUAUAUCCUAAUUGAAAAAGAUUUUGAGAUAGAAUAUCCGAAUAUCCACAAAAAGAAAAUAAUCUUUUUACGAAAUUCUGUGCUCUGUUUGACGCAGCAUUGGAGCUGAAGAAAAAGACUUGUGUCAACACGGACAAUGAGUUUUUAGUUGACCUGUUACAAGGCGAAUUAUCACAAGAUUCACGAACCCUUAUUCAGACUUAUCUAUUAUGUUCGUUCAUAUGUAAUAAGUCAAUGAAGUUAAAAAAGUGGGAAACCCAGUGUUGCUGAAUCAAGAGAAUCGAUUAUACUUCAAGUCAAGUGCCCUACAGCCAGCAUAUUGAACAAAUUUUUACAAUAAUUAAAUCUUAAUUCUGCGUAUAAAAAAUAUUGUUUUUACGCAAAUAAAAAAUAAUUUUAGUUACAAAACUAGUAUGCUUCUCGUAAUUAAAGUUUACUGUUACAGAUAAAAUAUAUAUGUUUUAAAAAUCUUAUUAAAAUUAGGAAUAAUAUAUACCUUUCUAUUCUAAAUUAUAAUUUACUUACCACAAAUUAAAUCAAGAUAUUCUUGUUGACAAUCAUUAAUUAUAGAUAUUAUAAU